UACGGGGGGGCAAGGCGUUGUUCGGAAUUACUGGGCGUAAAGGGCGUGAUAGGUGGCCAACUAAGUCCGGACGUGAAAUCCCCAGGCUUAACCUGGGAAACUCGGCGUCGGAGUACUGGAUGGCUUGAAUUCGGGAGAGGGAUGCAGAAUUCCAGGUGUAGCGGGUGAAAGUGCGUAGAUAUCUGGAAGGAAUACCGGUGGCGAAGGCGGCAUCCUGGGACCGAGAUUGGACACUAAAGCGCGAAAGCC
rnacentral:rRNA from 1 species